AUUGAACGCUGGCGGCAGGCCUAACACAUGCAAGUCGAGCGAGCGGCGGACGGGUGAGUAAUGUAUGGGGACUGCCUGAGGGAGGGGGAUAACUACUGGAAACGGUGGCUAAUACCGCAUACUAUCGGAUAACCCAUAUGGGAUUAGCUAGUCGGUGGGGUAAAGGCUCACCUAGGCGACGAUCUCUAGCUGGUCUGUGAGGAGGAUCAGCCACACGGGGACUGAGAAACGGCCCAGACUCCAACGGAGGCAGCAGUGGGGAAUAUUGCACAAUGGGCGCAAGCCUGAUGCAGCCAUGCCGCGUGGAUGAAGAAGGUCUUAGGGUUUUAAAGUACUUUCAGCGGGGAGGCGUUACCCGCAGAAGAAGCACCGGCUAACUCCGUGCCAGCAGCCGCGGUAAUUC
rnacentral:rRNA from 1 species